GGGGUAGUUAAGGAUACUUAAAACAUUGGGUAAAAUUGGCCUUUAUCAUGCAUUUAAGCAAAUAUUCCCAUGGAUGCUGAAGUAUGUGUAUUUGGGGAGGCUGUUGGAGGGAAAGAAGAAGAGCGAGAAGACUCACAGCUAAAUAAGUUUCCAUCUUCUGUUGACCAUAAACACUUUCACAGGACACUAACCCUGUACAAGUUUACUCAUUAUAAUAGAGCAAAACAAACAUAACCAAAUAAACAAACGGUGGCUGCUCUGUAGUCACAGUUGAACUCAGACAAAAUCAAGACCAUUGUACAAAUCCCCCAAAUGACUGGCUCCUGCUUCUUUUCUAAUUAAAACUUUAGCCUAGACUUCUAAAUAACAAUUAAACUAUCCAAUAAUAAUAAUGCCUCCCUUUCUGAAAGCACCCAAUACACAGAAAAUCCAUGCUUCCUUGAACCCUCUUUAAAAUCACUUAACACAAGCCCAAAUCCUGUAACACCCUAAGGAGUUUCUUCUAGUACCCUCUUACACUGAGUUACCUUCUGAUUCCCAGUGGAGUGGGUCUCCCUUGUUGCAACAAUGCCAGGAAGCCCAAUAUUGCACUACUAUGUGCAUGUUCCUAGUGGUCUUGACUGGUGCACAACUAAUAUACAAGAAGGUAUAAAUGUAGAAGUAUAUAUGUGUAGAUGUGUAUACAUAUCAAAAAUUCACCAUUGGAAGUUCCUGUUGUGGCUCAGUGGGUUAAGAAUCCAACUAAUAUCUAUGAGGAUGCGUGUUUGGUCCCUGGCCUCGUUCAGUGGGUUAAAGGAUCCAGCAUCACGGUGAUCUGUGGUGUGGGUUGAAGACACGGCUUGAAUCUGGUGUUGCUGUGGCUGUGGCGUAGGCCAGCAACUGCAGCUCUCAUUGGACCCCUAGCCUGGGAACUUCCAUGUACUGCAAGUGCAGCUGUUAAAAAAAAAAAAAAAAGGCAAAAAAAUUAAAAUAAAAAUUUAAAAAAUGUGCCAUUAUCAUUGUCACCAUUGCUAUAUUUAGAGUUAGUAUUUAUAGAGCACCUAUUAUAUUCCAGACAGUAUGUUAAGUAAAUCUACAAGGGUUUUUUUUCCAUAUAAUUUGUACAAUAAAUCCAUGGAGUAAGAGCUAACCCACUUAAAAAAUACAGAAAUGCAAGACCAGAAGUUCGAGUAAUUUUUCCAAGUUUAUAUAGCACGUUCAGUGUAGAUUCAGUUUCCUAAGUUAUAUAGCAUGUAAUUGGAAAGUUGGUGUGGAGACAUCCACCAGAACCAGGGGGGCUUUGCCCCUUUUAUAAUUUAGAAAAUAUAAAAUAAUGGCAUAUUGUAUCUGUCUUUGUCAUUCUCUGGCAACAUAUCAGCCUAUGAAAUUUCAAACAGCUCCAAUAGAGUAACAAAGGGCUCUGCCUUUCACUACUGAAUCAGCACUGCAUCCACCAAGCAGAGCCAAUUAUAACACCUGCCUAGAAACUACUCUAUAUUUUAAUCUACCCACAUUUUGACAUUUGCCUCAGCUCUUACCUUACAUGAGUUGCACUCAAUUCGAAUACUAAAGAAAAGGCUGUAGAUGUGUUAUGUUUUUAUUGAGAGAAUGGGGAAAGCUGGCUAAUUUUAUGAGUGGAUUAUGUGGAAGUUGGUUAAAAGAGAUUUUAUUAUAGAACAAUGAUAAUGCAGCCAUGAAAUACAGUGCAACUGUUGAGAAAAAAAAAAGUUCAGAUAAGUAAUAGGAAUAUUAAGUGAAACAAAACAAAUCAAUAAUCCAAAAACCAACUAGAUAACAACUUCUAAAUGACUUCCAUAAAGCAUGGGGCAGUAAGUUGGGAAAACAGCCAAAGGUCAUAUUCUACCCAGGGGAAUAUUUAAAGUAGUUCUUAACACUGAUAUAAAAACACAGUUCAAAUAUACUUAUUAAAAAUAAACUAUGUCCCUUUUUGAUAAAAAAAAGAAAAAAAUAAACUAUAUCUUGAAAAUUAGGGAUCUCUAAACAAACAGUGGUUUACAGAAAUUGAAGCCUGGGUGGAAUGUGGUUAUGCAAUUUUACUUGAUUCCUUAGAUUGGAGUUCCCAAAGUAUCAUUCCCAGGCCAAAAGCUUCAGCAUCACUCUGAGACUUGUUAGAAAUUCAAGUUCUUGGGCUUCCACUCAGAUUUUUGAGUCAAAAAUUCUGAGGUUGGGAUAUAGCAAUCUGUAUUUUAACAAAUCCUCCAAUUUUUUCUGUUAUAGGCUAAAGUCCGGGCACUACUGACCUAAUUAAUAACACAUUAAAGUAUUCAUAUUGAUUAAUCAAUUGACUUUAUUAUUGAGGAAAUAUUUUUUGAGGGUGUGGUACAUGUUUGACAUGUUUUUAGCCAAGGCAGGUACCAUUGGUUCAAAGUAUAGCAGACCUCUCCCUUAUUGUGCUUCACAUCUUCUCAGCCCAUUAACUGACUCCAGAUAUUGCUGAGGCCAUCACCUCCAUGCUGGUGUUAUCUGAUGGUGCAUCGCCUGAUUAUGUGAUUGUUUUAUACUUCCUUCCCUAGCUUCUUCUUUGUUGGGUUGUGCACAGCUCUUCUGGCUUGUGAGCAGAGCUGGGGGUAUGAGGGAGUUAAUAUCACUGGAAUAAUCCUUGUCUAGUAGGGGAAGGGACUGAUGCAUAAAUAUUGUUCUCUUCUGUGCUUUCGAUGGACAGUUCUGAUGAUCAUGGGAUGACACAUUUCUUCAAAGAGUUCCCAGCAGGCCUGUGCCUCCAUUGCUCACAGCAGGAAACAGCUUAAUCAUAUACUCUUUUUUAACUGGCUCUCUUGUAUCUGUGUUUCACUCCCUUCGCUGUUCCCUGGAAUCACGUCUCAACAUAGACUGUUUUUGCCUGGAAAGGCAAAGACCAUCCUUUGAUGGAAUGAGAUAUCUAAGUCUAAGUCUAGGACAUAUAUUUAGCCAACAGUCAGUAGAAAAAAGAACAAGCACAUUAGAUACCACCAUGUUUAUAGUUUGAAGGGCUUUGUAAAAAAAUUAAAGGUAGUGAUAUGAUAGACCGUGAUUGGUAGGAAGUGGGUUUUGUUACCUUAGAGUGUGAUGAGUGUGUCUCAGAACUUAAUAUACAACUGAAUGGCCUGAAGGACUUAUACACAGAAUGAGCCAGUCCAACUCCAGAUUUUCUCAAUCACUAAAUCCCAUUUGGGGCCAGAGAAUCUGCAUCUAAUAAGCCCCCAGUCAGUGCUGAUGCCAGUGGUCUGGAGAAUGCAAAUGAAAACCCCCAGAUUAGAGAGAGGGUUUCUAAAACAUCAUUCAGAACUGAAGCAUGAGAAGGAAUAUGCAGUGCAAAGAACACUAAGAGAAUCCCAGGUAAAGAAAUGAUAAGCAAUGCAAAUGUUCUUGAAAGAGAAAAAGGGUUCACUGGCUUUGGUUGAGUGUAAUAAUGUGCAUUAUUAGACAGGAAACUGAGAAAGGUAGGUAGAGAAAGAAUGAGAGUGAUAUGGGAUGAGUUUAAUGGGGUAAAUGGAGACCAGAUUAGGAAGAGUGAUAUAGACCAUAUUUAAUCAUGUUGAAUUUUAUUCUAAAUGGAAUCCUUUUACAUCAAAGGAUUUAAAAAUGCUUUUUUUUCAACUUGUGUUUAAAACUAAUUAUAUAGGAGUGAGAGUCAAGGCAGAGAAGUUAUAUCCACAAAAUGGAAUUAUGCCUAAUAUAGAGAGAAACUGAAAUAAUUAGGGAAAAUAUAUGGAAUGGGCCAGCGAAGCAUAAAUUAGAUGAUGAUUUAAAGGUUAACCAUAAAAAUUGAAAAAAAAACUAAAAAAUACAUUUAAGUAAUAUGUAAAUAUUAUUAAACACUUGAGCUUAGGAAGAUAUGUAAUGAAAUCAAAUCUGUGUGGACUAAAGUCUGCUUAGUGUGUCAGGGUUCAGAUCUGGACCCUGACUCCCUGGCUGUGACUUCUGACCUGACUACUGUCUUGAUGAGUGAUUCUGGGGUCAAGUGUUCUGUACUUGAUUUUCUUCAUCUGUGAAAUAAGGCUAAUAAUAAUAAAGACUUUACCUCAAAGGGGUUUUACGUAGAUUAUGGGUUCAACUUUUGUAAGUUCAGUACCUAGAACAUGGUAAAUCUUAUAAAAAGUAUGUGCUGUUUUUACAGUUAUUGCUGUUAUUGUUGUUAGGGAAGGUUGAUAUAAAACCUGUUUUGUUUGGGAGGUAACAAAAAACCAACUUCAGGAGUAAUAUAAAAUUGUAUAUGUACAGAACUUGUGCCCUUUUUCGGGGGCAGGACUGAAUGGAAGGUGAGACAGUUAUUUAUAUAAGACUACUAAGUCUAGUAGGUUAUACCCUACUGAUUUGAGUUUUGAAUAUUUCAGUGGAACAAAUAAAAAUAAAUCUUUUGUGGACCCUUGGUAAUUUUAGAUUUAAUAUUUAGAAUAUGGAAAUUUACAAGUGUCUCUGAGUUCAUGUCUUAACAGUCUCAGGAGUUGGCUUGCAGUGAUCUUCUGAUAUGUGUGGUAGUUUUAUAAUGUUGGAAUACCACAUAUACAUAAGUAGGUAGGUCGAUAAGUAGGUAGACAGACAGAUAGAUGGAUAGACCGAAAGUGUGGGGUGGGGAGAGAAAGAGAGAGAAUGUGAUUGUAUGGUUGGUAAAUUUUAUUUUUCUAUGUGCAAAAUUUUUUAAAAACCCUGAGAUCAGUGCUGAGUAAAUGGAAAAAUUAAAAUAAUUGAAAAAUAAACCAGAUGUCAAUAAU
rnacentral:lncRNA from 1 species